CAGUGGAUUGAAUUAACAGCUUUGAAAUGUCACAUUAGAUUCAAACUGGAUUCGAGUAUACACAACACACUACUAUUACGCUUGCACUUGCUUGUAUUAACAGCUUUGAAAUAUCACAUUAGAUUCGAAUCCGAGUCGAGUGUAAUAUUACCCACAAUGCACUUCCAUUACGCUUACGUUGGUUUGAAAUUACAGCUUUUAAGUAUCACGUUGGAUUCGAAUUGGAGUCGAGUGUAAGUUACCCAUAAUUCCGAGCGGGAACGGGAACGACGCUAAGUUAACGGUGGGACCGACACUUGAAGAUGCCAUCGGCCAUAUUGCUUUGUUUUGUUUAUUGUGUAUUUGUAAGUGAUUCAUUCUCAAUCUCUCUCAUUGAGUUGAGAAUAUCGAUAUUCUGGUGCUGAGUUGUUCAAGUUAUAAUAUUAUAUUGUUAAAGCUGAUUUGUUAUUAAGUUUCAUCUAGGCCUAUUUCUUCUUAUCCAUCAAGCUGCUGCACAGAAAAUGUUGGGCAUAAGUGAAGUCACGGAAGCCAAAGUUACAAGCGUUGUUGCUAAGUGGCUUCAACAAGCCAAAACCAGAUGUGAAAGAAGAGGGAAAAACCUGCCUUUGUGGACAGUGGGGAGGAAGUUCCACUCAAUGGGGAUGAAAAUCUUGUUGAAUAGAUAACUUACUCUGUAUUAUUAAAGUAAUCGUAAAAUGAGGAAUUUUUGAGGGAAUUGUUUGUUGAAAGUUAAAGAUA